UGCAUCGGCCAGGAAUCGAACCCGGGCCGCCCGCGUAGCAGGCGAGCAUUCUACCACUGAACCACCGAUGG
rnacentral:tRNA from 1 species